rnacentral:rRNA from 1 species
AGAGUUUGAUCCUGGCUCAGGACGAACGCUGGCGGCGUGCUUAACACAUGCAAGUCGAACGGUAAGGGCCUUCGGGGUACACGAGUGGCGAACGGGUGAGUAACACGUGGGUAAUCUGCCCUGCACAUUGGGAUAAGCCUGGGAAACUGGGUCUAAUACCGAAUAGGACCACAGGACACAUGUCCUGUGGUGGAAAGCUUUUGCGGUGUGGGAUGGGCCCGCGGCCUAUCAGCUUGUUGGUGGGGUGAUGGCCUACCAAGGCGACGACGGGUAGCCGGCCUGAGAGGGUGUCCGGCCACACUGGGACUGAGAUACGGCCCAGACUCCUACGGGAGGCAGCAGUGGGGAAUAUUGCACAAUGGGCGAAAGCCUGAUGCAGCGACGCCGCGUGGGGGAUGACGGCCUUCGGGUUGUAAACCUCUUUCACCAUCGACGAAGGUCCGGGUUUUCUCGGGCUGACGGUAGGUGGAGAAGAAGCACCGGCCAACUACGUGCCAGCAGCCGCGGUAAUACGUAGGGUGCGAGCGUUGUCCGGAAUUACUGGGCGUAAAGAGCUCGUAGGUGGUUUGUCGCGUUGUUCGUGAAAUCUCACGGCUUAACUGUGAGCGUGCGGGCGAUACGGGCAGACUUGAGUACUGCAGGGGAGACUGGAAUUCCUGGUGUAGCGGUGGAAUGCGCAGAUAUCAGGAGGAACACCGGUGGCGAAGGCGGGUCUCUGGGCAGUAACUGACGCUGAGGAGCGAAAGCGUGGGGAGCGAACAGGAUUAGAUACCCUGGUAGUCC